UGAGGAAUAUUGCGCAAUGGGGGCAACCCUGACGCAGCGACGCCGCGUGAGUGAGGAAGGCCUUCGGGUCGUAAAGCUCUGUCAAAGGGAAAGAAGUGCAUGGUGGCUAAUACCUGCCAUGUUUGACGGUACCCUUAAAGGAAGCACCGGCUAACUCCGUGCCAGCAGCCGCGGUAAUACGGAGGGUGCAAGCGUUGUUCGGAAUCACUGGGCGUAAAGGGCGCGUAGGCGGUUUGGUAAGUCAGUGGUGAAAGCCCACGGCUUAACUGUGGAAGUGCAUUUGAAACUGUCAGACUUGAGGAUCAGAGGGGAAAGUGGAAUUCCCGGUGUAGAGGUGAAAGUCGUAGAUAUCGGGAGGAAUACCGGUGGCGAAGGCGACUUUCUGGCUGAAUACUGACGCUGAGGCGCGAAAGCGUGGGGAGCAAACA
rnacentral:rRNA from 1 species